UAAUAAUUAUUUCCCCUAGAUGGCGGCUUAGAAGCUGCGAAAGUUCAGACCUCAGAAACCCUUCCUUACUGAUCGCAAACUGAGGGAUCCUAGGACACCGAAAUUCAAGCUUAACAACAGGACAGACCCGGGGAAACCUCCUCCCGGACCUGGAUCAAAAGGGAGAAGCUGGAGUCCUUUAAAUACUGUACAAUUUCUGGAAGAUUAUUUAGUAUAUUCUCCUAUUAAAUUCUGGUAAGCAGAUCCACUUACAAUAUGGAUCCAUUAUUGAUGAAAUAAUUGAUUAGCUCUAUAAGUUCCACCCAACUCUUUAUAAUAUUAUGAG
rnacentral:lncRNA from 1 species